AGUGAACGCUGGCGGUAGGCCUAACACAUGCAAGUCGAACGGCAGCACAGUAAGAGCUUGCUCUUACGGGUGGCGAGUGGCGGACGGGUGAGGAAUACAUCGGAAUCUACUUUUUCGUGGGGGAUAACGUAGGGAAACUUACGCUAAUACCGCAUACGACCUACGGGUGAAAGCAGGGGAUCUUCGGACCUUGCGCGAUUGAAUGAGCCGAUGUCGGAUUAGCUAGUUGGCGGGGUAAAGGCCCACCAAGGCGACGAUCCGUAGCUGGUCUGAGAGGAUGAUCAGCCACACUGGAACUGAGACACGGUCCAGACUCCUACGGGAGGCAGCAGUGGGGAAUAUUGGACAAUGGGCGCAAGCCUGAUCCAGCCAUACCGCGUGAGUGAAGAAGGCCUUCGGGUUGUAAAGCCCUGUUGUUGGGAAAGAAAAGCAGCAGAUUAAUACCUCGCUGUCCUGACGGUACCCAAAGAAUAAGCACCGGCUAACUUCGUG
rnacentral:rRNA from 1 species